CACUGACGUCAAUACUGUGCUUGAUUGUCUAUUGGAUAAUGCUAUAUCCUAGAAUCAUGUAACCCCACUGCAUUAUAUAAACCCUGGACCUUCAUUAAAGUUUUGCUGGCGAUGCACAGGAGUGUCAGCCCUCCCGCUCUUUCUGUCUUUCUUUCUUUUCUUCGCCCCCCUUCCGCACUUCAGGACCUGCUUGACUCGGCGUGGCUGGACAGCGUCAAGUGGUGCCUGAACAGGGACCUGAAGGAGAGGGAAAAGGUGAGGGCUACCAUGAGGCCAAUAGAGAAGAGAAAGCCCUGGCCAGGGUAAUCAGAGAAGACGCGCGAGAGAAGAAGCAUGCAAGAAACGUGGAUGUGUGGAAGAUCAGAAGCAGGCGAGGUGUGGGCUAGGAUGAAUGACUACCAUCGCGGCCACUGAUGAAGCAUGCUGUUCUAGGAAGAUUCCUGUAGCAGAUUGGACUUUGCCGAUUGAUCUCAGUGGCUUGAUAGAGUACCAUUGCAGAAUGCAUCUGGAAGAUUCUCUGUAAAAGUGACAAACCUCAGAAGACCAAGAUUGGGACUAAAGCGGUGGACCCCAUCCAUCUUUGGGGCAGGGCUCUGGCAGCCUGGGGCCUGCGGUGGUGGAAGAGCUAAUUACACACAGCCUCGGGGCUCUGGAAUGAAAGACUCCCUUGGAAUCAAAUGCCUAUUCAAGAUUCUAUGGAGAUCUUCUUCCAAAUUGCAAGAUUUGUUUCCAGAACUGUGGCUUGGCAGGAAAAUAAAUGUACU